AUGAGGGAGGUGGAACCUCCCCUGGGGGGCUUCUGCCGGGCACAGCCUCGCCUCCUUCCCGCUCCGGGCCAAGAGCACCUGUGGCUCACUUUCCUCACUCCCAGCUUCUUCGUGGAGAAGGGCCUCCGGGAAGCGCGGCGGGGAGGGGGGGACACGGGCCCUUGGGUCGUGGCGCCCUCCGACUGCCUUGGACAGAAACCCAGAUCCCCGCCUGGGCCCAAGGCCCCUCAAGCGUGGCCUCUGCUGGCCCCUUCCGUGUUACCUCCUGCGCCUCGCUCCUUCCUCUGUGGCCGCCGCGGCUCUGGAGCUGUUCCCAAGGCCCAGAACAUUCUCCCCCCCUCUCCGGGCUUUGCAGGACUGGCUCUUCCCGUUCCGUCAGGUCGAGUUCUUGAACACUUGAGACGUGUGAUGUCGACACGGACGCUGUCACAUACCGUUUGGCAGGUUGCUUUUUCCGCUCGGCCUGUGACGUCUGUGCUCACUCCGUCUUGAGCCGCGUGGACUGGGCCGCCGGCGACGAUGGUGGAUUACCUGGCCAACACGGAGAUCAACAGCCAGCGCAUCGCCGCGGUGGAGAGCUGCUUCGGGGCGUCGGGGCAGCCGCUGGCGCUGCCGGGCCGCGUGCUGCUGGGCGAGGGCGUGCUCACCAAGGAGUGCCGCAAGAAGGCCAAGCCGCGCAUCUUCUUCCUCUUCAACGACAUCCUGGUGUACGGCAGCAUCGUGCUCAGCAAGCGCAAGUACCGCGGCCAGCACAUCAUCCCGCUGGAGGAGGUGACGCUCGAGCCGCUGCCCGAGACCCUGCAGGCCAAGAACCGCUGGAUGAUCAAGACGGCCAAGAAGUCGUUCGUGGUGUCGGCCGCCUCCACCACGGAGCGCCAGGAGUGGAUCAGCCACAUCGAGGAGUGCGUGCGGCGGCAGCUGCUGGCCACGGGCCGCCCGCCCAGCACGGAGCACGCGGCGCCCUGGAUCCCCGACAAGGCCACGG
rnacentral:lncRNA from 1 species